rnacentral:rRNA from 1 species
GUGGACGCCAGUCUGCAUGGAGCCGACCUUGAAAUACCACCCUUUAAUGUUUGAUGUUCUAACGUGGACCCGUGAUCCGGGUUGCGGACAGUGUCUGGUGGGUAGUUUGACUGGGGCGGUCUCCUCCUAAAGAGUAACGGAGGAGCACGAAGGUUGGCUAAUCCUGGUCGGACAUCAGGAGGUUAGUGCAAUGGCAUAAGCCAGCUUGACUGCGAGCGUGACGGCGCGAGCAGGUGCGAAAGCAGGUCAUAGUGAUCCGGUGGUUCUGAAUGGAAGGGCCAUCGCUCAACGGAUAAAAGGUACUCCGGGGAUAACAGGCUGAUACCGCCCAAGAGUUCAUAUCGACGGCGGUGUUUGGCACCUCGAUGUCGGCUCAUCACAUCCUGGGGCUGAAGUAGGUCCCAAGGGUAUGGCUGUUCGCCAUUUAAAGUGGUACGCGAGCUGGGUUUAGAACGUCGUGAGACAGUUCGGUCCCUAUCUGCCGUGGGCGCUGGAGAACUGAGGGGGGCUGCUCCUAGUACGAGAGGACCGGAGUGGACGCAUCACUGGUGUUCGGGUUGUCAUGCCAAUGGCACUGCCCGGUAGCUAAAUGCGGAAGAGAUAAGUGCUGAAAGCAUCUAAGCACGAAACUUGCCCCGAGA